GACGAACGCUGGCGGCGUGCUUAACACAUGCAAGUCGAACGGAAAGGCCCUGCUCUUGUGGGGUGCUCGAGUGGCGAACGGGUGAGUAACACGUGAGUAACCUGCCCUUGACUUUGGGAUAACUUCAGGAAACUGGGGCUAAUACCGGAUAGGAGCUCCUGCUGCAUGGUGGGGGUUGGAAAGAUUCGGCGGUUGGGGAUGGACUCGCGGCUUAUCAGCUUGUUGGUGGGGUAGUGGCUUACCAAGGCUUAGACGGGUAGCCGGCCUGGGAGGGUGACCGGCGACAUUGCGCCUGAGAUACGCCGCAGACUCCAACGGGAGGCAGCGGGGGAGAGUAUUACACAGUGGGCGGGCGCCUGAUACGAAGGCGCCGCGUGCGGAAUGACGGCCUUCGGGUUAUGAACCGCUUUCGCCUGUAACGAAGCGUGAGUGACGGUAAUGGGUAAAGAAGCACCGGCUAACUACGUG
rnacentral:rRNA from 1 species